rnacentral:rRNA from 1 species
GCGCUUCAGCCAAAACGAGGCGCGGCAUACAGCUCAGUAACACGUGGCUAAUCUGCCCUUGGGACGAGAACAACCCCGGGAAACUGGGGCUAAUUCUCGAUAGGUGAAGAACUCUGGAAUGAGUCUUCGCUUAAAAAGCUUCACGUUAUGCUCGUGAAGUCGCCCAAGGAUGAGGCCGCGACCGAUCAGGUUGUUGGUGAGGUAAUGGCUCACCAAGCCUUUUACCGGUGCGGGCCGUGAGAGCGGGAGCCCGGAGAUGGGCACUGAGACAAGGGCCCAGGCCCUACGGGGCGCAGCAGUCGCGAAAACUUUGCAAUACACGAAAGUGUGACAGGGCUAUCCCGAGUGCCAUCCGCUGAGGAAGGCUUUUACCCAGUAUAGAUCGCUGGGGGAAUAAGGAGAGGGCAAGUCUGGUGUCAGCCGCUGCGGUAAUAC